CCAGCAGCCGCGGUAAUUCCUACGGGAGGCAGCAGUGGGGAAUUUUGGCACACAAUGGGCGAAAGCCUGAUCCAGCAAUGCCGCGUGAGUGAAGAAGGCCUUCGGGUUGUAAAGCUCUUUCAGUCGAGAAGAAAAGGUUGUGACAAAUAAUCACAACUUAUGACGGUAUCGACAGAAGAAGCACCGGCUAACUACGUGCCAGCAGCCGCGGUAAU
rnacentral:rRNA from 1 species